CCUGGGGUAAAAAAAGCAUACUCAUUAUUGUGGUCCCAAUUUAUCAAUCAGCCAGUUAUUACUAAAAGUUUUAAACCCCUCACUGCAUACCCAGCAUUAGUUCUGGCAAACUGAGAGACAAAAGGAGUACAGGAUCUUGCUAUAAGGAGAUGAGCAGAGAUCUUUCUGUCCUCUUCCAAGAUACUAGCAUCUAAAGGAAAAUCCUAUCCAUUGUCCUACCAAGCAGAUGAAACCUGAUUUUUCCUCCACCUAGUACUCACUCCUACCCUCUAGUGCAUUCCUGAAAGCACGAUGUCCUGGAGAGAGAAUGAGUAGCCUUUGAGAUCAGAUAGACCUAGAUUCAAAUUACAAGUCUACCACUUACUUUCAUGACAGUGACCUUGGACAUUGCACUCUCCUUCCUCCCACCCUGGCUUUCUCAUCUAUAUCCUGGGCAUAUAAAUACUUAAUCUAGAUGAGCUUUUUUUCCUUCUCCUUCCUUGCCAAAUCCCCAUUUCCUAGAGGGCUAGGCCCUAUUGCUCCCUGCCACCUGUUCAUAUAGAAUCCCUGGAAUUACCCCCACCCUGCCUUCCAGAGGCCUGCUCCUGCCCUAUUUCCACUGCCUUCCAGUGCCUAGUCUGGACCAGGACUGGGAUUAUAUUGCCAUGCUCAGAACUAUUCUUGGACUGAUGGUUCCUCUUCCCAGUGUCUUAGGAUCUCACCAGCUUUAGGCCGUCUUCCUCUCAGCUUGACCCUCUUGGUUCUUACCAUGCCUAAGAAAAGGUGGGUUGUACAUACUUAAGUAAAAGGGUCAGCUAUAAUACAUUCCUCCAACCAUGGUGACUUCAAAUAGAACUAAUGGACUUGAGCUGCAUUCCAGUAUAUUUGCCCUGACUGUUCUCUCUCUACAGACUGUAAAGAAAUGGCACAGACUGGAGAAUGUGGGAGCCCAUUCUAAAUAUGCUGUCUGCCAUGACAGUACAUGGCAAAGGGAGUCUAAGAUGCCCCUGGCAUCAGCAGUUCACAGGAACAUUUCCCAAAGUGAGCUCCACGGGAUGUUAGUUAAGUGUUGCAUGGGAGAAAAAGCACGUCUGUGGUUAAUAAUUCUAAACUUUUUUUAGGCCAACCUCUUUAUGACAGACCUUCUCAGGACCUUUAACAUGCUAUUAUUCACUGUGACUCUUCAAGCCUGUAGGGCAUUUCUCAAACUUAUUUGAGCAUGAAACAUGUUUGUUUUCUGAAGUAUCUCAAAGGACUAAGGCUACACAACAUACUCUGGAAAAUGCUGCUGUUAUACUCUAGUUCAGCCCAUAAAUGGGAGUGUAGGGAAGCGGAGAAAAGCAACAUCUGAAUGAUAACUUU